rnacentral:rRNA from 1 species
GACGAACCGUGCGAACGUUGUUCGGAAUCACUGGGCUUAAAGGGCGCGUAGGCGGAUCAGCAAGUCCGGGGUGAAAUCUUUCGGCUCAACCGGAAAAGUGCCUUGGAUACUGCUGGUCUUGAGGGAGGUAGGGGCAUGUGGAACUUCCGGUGGAGCGGUGAAAUGCGUUGAUAUCGGAAGGAACGCCGGUGGCGAAAGCGACGUGCUGGCCCUCUUCUGACGCUGAGGCGCGAAAGCCAGGGGAGCGAACGGG